UACAGGGGGUGCAAACGUUGCUCGGAAUCAUUGGGCGUAAAGGGCUCGUAGGCGGUUUGUCGCGUCGGGAGUGAAAACCUUGGGCUUAACUCAGGGCUUGCUUUCGAUACGGGCAGACUAGAGGUAUGCAGGGGAGAACGGAAUUCCUGGUGUAGCGGUGAAAUGCGCAGAUAUCAGGAGGAACACCGGUGGCGAAGGCGGGUCUCUGGGCAACAACUGACGCUGAGGAGCGAAAGCGUGGGGAGCGAACAGG
rnacentral:rRNA from 1 species